rnacentral:ribozyme from 1 species
GAAGGAACGUCCCCACACCGCACCGCCCUUGGAGACGCGACGCGACGACGGCGCGGAAGAUGGGGCGGCACUGAUUGAAAUUGAGAAACCAACAUCGAUCCGUUCAGAAGAAGACUAU